AUGCUUAACACAUGCAAGUCGAACGGUAACAUUUCUAGCUUGCUAGAAGAUGACGAGUGGCGGACGGGUGAGUAAUGCUUGGGAACUUGCCUUUGCGAGGGGGAUAACAGUUGGAAACGACUGCUAAUACCGCAUAAUGUCUUCGGACCAAACGGGGCUUAGGCUCCGGCGCAAAGAGAGGCCCAAGUGAGAUUAGCUAGUUGGUAAGGUAACGGCUUACCAAGGCGACGAUCUCUAGCUGUUCUGAGAGGAAGAUCAGCCACACUGGGACUGAGACACGGCCCAGACUCCUACGGGAGGCAGCAGUGGGGAAUAUUGCACAAUGGGGGAAACCCUGAUGCAGCCAUGCCGCGUGUGUGAAGAAGGCCUUCGGGUUGUAAAGCACUUUCAGUUGUGAGGAAAAGUUAGUAGUUAAUACCUGCUAGCCGUGACGUUAACAACAGAAGAAGCACCGGCUAACUCCGUGCCAGCAGCCGCGGUAAUACGGAGGGUGCGAGCGUUAAUCGGAAUUACUGGGCGUAAAGCGCACGCAGGCGGUUUGUUAAGCUAGAUGUGAAAGCCCCGGGCUCAACCUGGGAUGGUCAUUUAGAACUGGCAGACUAGAGUCUUGGAGAGGGGAGUGGAAUUCCAGGUGUAGCGGUGAAAUGCGUAGAUAUCUGAAGGAACACCAGUGG
rnacentral:rRNA from 1 species